CAGCCAAGUAGGUUAUGUUUUUGGUGUGGUUUGUUUAUUUGUUUGUCGGUUUGUCAGCAGGAUUACGGUUAAAACUACCAGCCUGAUUUUCAUGAAACUUGGUAGAAGGGUAAAGCAUGGGCCACAGAAGAACACAUUCAAUUGUGGAGUGGAUCUGCCUCACAGGACGUGAGGUAGAGCAUUUGGCCUUGGCGGAGGUCUGCGCUCUCUGAGUGCUAUUCGAGUUUAAUGAUUGCAAUCAUUAACAGUGUAGUGACCAAUAAAGCACUCUGAUGCAAAGGUCAAAGUCUGCUGACCAGGUGUUCAGGUGUAUAAAUCCUUGCAGGAUGUAUGAGUACGCAUAGAGGAGGGUAAAUCCACCACCAGCUAAAAUGGAGACGACGGGACAUGCCACCCACAUGGGCAUAAAUGGAGGCCGGCGGGCGGCGCAGCACUGUGUGUGCAUCCUCCUGGCCGUGCUCAGCCUCUUCCUCACUCAGCUUUUCAUCUCAUGGGCUCAUGGGCCAAGCCCUGCAGGUGUGUUUGAGACAACCAAAGGUAAUGUGUCUGCAAUCUUCCCCAUUGAGGUUACCAUGGACAGAUGGACAAGCUACAUAGACGCUGCCAUUCCAAGCAUCUGCAAUAUUUUUCUCUGUUUUUCCCUUGUAAUGGUUUUCCAAAGGAAUUACUUUGGCCCCGUGUGCUGCAACCCCGAGGUUCACCCUCCCUUGUUCUAUUUGACUUGGCCUGUGAUCUGUGUCACAGACAUCGGUGGGCUCUUUCUCUGGGAAAGUGGUGAGAUCCUGCAAGCCCUCUGCAUGAGGCUUCUUCCUCCAGCGCUGAGCUUCUACAUGCUGUUUGUCUCUUACAACAACCUCAAGCGCUGCAGACCCUUGCUCCACAUCACCUCCUCACGGCUCACCUGGUUCACAUACUACGCAACACAAAACAGCUUGGCAUUGUCAGCUUGGUGGACUCUGACUAAUGCUCUGGUUAAUCUGGGUGUCGUGCUAAAGUACACCAUUGGCCUGCAGGAUCCACUGGUCAGCUCUGUGGUCCUCACCCUACUGUUCCUGGCCAUGCUUCUAUGGUUUAUCCUUCAGACUUUUGUGUUGGUGAAUUACAUCCACUACACUUUCACUGUUUACCCAAUCUUAAUCCUGGGACUGGGAGCCAUGUUUACCAGAGGAUAUCAAGUGCAUGACAUGGCACCCAACACCAUUUACUGUGGAUUCCUAAUGAUGGUAGCAACAAUUAUGAACUGUAUCAUGUUGUUCAGUCUUUGUUGUGACUCCAGACGACCCUCCACAUCUACUCACAAACCCUUCCCCAGGCUCAAGGACUGCCCAUCAGUGUGCCAGUCAGUAGACAAGCUGGGCACGGAGAGGGCCAAAGGGAACAUGGCAUAAGAAGUCAGUGAUUAUGUAUGGUCACUCAUAGGGGACAUGCUUUAGGGUGACCAUGUGGUACUGAUGUCAGGUAGUAUGAUGUUAAUGCCAGGCUUUAACCCUCACUUUAAUACCCUUCAUUUUGAGAAUGUGGAAAUGCAUACAAGUGAAGACACUACUGAAUUUUACUUUUAGGCAGUCCCAUUAUGGCAAGUUAAUGCCAAAUAACUGGCCCUCAGUUAGAACCCUGUGACUGUGUUGGGCAUGAGGGAUCCAUACUGCUGUAGGGCUCCACUCAUCUGUGGUAUGUUUCUAUGAGCACAUGCAGACUCUGUCAGACAACCAGGUACUGUACAUGUCUCUGGGAACUGACAUCAGGGUUGGAAUCAGUUAUUUUUCAUCACAGGAUGUUGGAAAUUUUAGGUUGUAAUCUCAUUAAGAGCAAAACUUGGCACAGGGUUUUAAUUUCUAUGGGAAGAUUGUUUUGGGCAUCAAAAUGAGAUGGUCCUGUUGAUUCAGAAAAUACCUUAAAACCCUGGUGUUCAUAAUGACUCCUUUUACAUUUGAUAUUAUCCUCGAUUGACUGAACAGAUGUCACAGACAGCAAUGAAUGUAAAUGUUUUCAUUUGUGAAUUUGAAUUUGUGAACUUAAAAUUUUGUAAGUUGUAAUGUAAAUGUACAUUUUGUAUUGUUUUUGAAUUUAUAGUAAAUACAUCAAUAAAGUAUUUUUCAAGGUUUAGAUUUCA
ensembl:lncRNA